rnacentral:tRNA from 1 species
GGAUUGUGGCUCAGUGGCAGAGUGCAUGCCUUGCAUGUGUGAGGCACUGGGUUCAAUCCUCAGCACCA